rnacentral:pre_miRNA from 1 species
ACACCUGAAAGGUUGUCUCAACCUUGUAAAUGGAUGGGUGAGCAAGGUUUCAGGUGUGU